UACGAAGGGGGCUAGCGUUGCUCGGAAUCACUGGGCGUAAAGCGCACGUAGGCGGAUUGUUAAGUCGGGGGUGAAAUCCUGGAGCUCAACUCCAGAACUGCCUUUGAUACUGAGGAUCUUGAGUUCGGAAGAGGUGAGUGGAACUGCGAGUGUAGAGGUGAAAUUCGUAGAUAUUCGCAAGAACACCAGUGGCGAAGGCGGCUCACUGGCCCGAUACUGACGCUGAGGCACGAAAGCGUGGGGAGCAAACAGG
rnacentral:rRNA from 1 species